UAAGAUGGGUUCAUUAAGGUGGGCCCUAAUUCAAUAUGACUGUUUUCCUUAUAAAAAAAAGGAAAAGACAGAGAAACAGGGAGAAGAAUGCCACAUAACAAUGAAGGUAGAGAAUGGGGUUACACAGCUACAGACCAGAGAACAUGAAGGACUGUCACCAACACCACCGCUAAGAGAAGGGCACAGAACAGAUUCUCCCGCAGAGCCUUUAGAGGAAGCAAGACCCUGUCAACAGCUUUUCUGAGUUCUAGCCUUCAGAACUGUGAAAGAAUAAAUUUCAGCUUAUGGUACUUUUUAUAUGACAGCGCAAGGAAACUAACACAAGUAUUGGUGGAACACUUCUUCAACAAAUAGCACUUGAAUUAAGGCAGCGGCACUAAAAAUGGAGAGGAGGAGGUAUGUGGUAGACCAGGGAUAUAUUUGCUAAAGGACAAACGAAGUAAUGAGACUUAGAAACAGAAUGAUGGAGCCACAAAGAAUGCCUGAAAUGGUAAUAGGAUACAUGCUUGAAUGUUGAUGGGCCCCAUUUCCACAAGCCUCCAAAUCUGCUUCUAGAUCCCAUUCGAGCAAGGGAGGAUUUGUGAAGAAGAAAGGCCUUUUGAGAGCACCAGUCCCUCCACCAGCCAGUCUAGUCCUAAGAGCUCUGAAGGCCAACCUUGGAAGUGGUUUAGGAGGGAAAAUGCAGGACCCAGGAUUUCAGUUGCCAAGCCGGAGAGCAGGGGACCCAGGAAAGAAUAUUAGCAUUCACUUGAUUUUUCCAUCUUCUGAUAUCACCUUCAAAUGGUAAUAGUGUGUCGAAGAAUUUAUUGGAAGUGAGAAACAAGAAAACAGUGAGUCUAACCUAGUCAUUCUAGAAUUGGGAGGUAAUAGAAAAGAGAGAAAUGGGAAAGUUGCUCAAAUGCAAGUCCAGUGAAUCAGAGAGAAAAGGCUCAAAGCAGCAGAACAAAGCUUCAAUAAAGAGAUAUUGUGACUUGGAGAGAUGGCCUUUUGUCCUUUGUUCUAUUACCGGUCAGAGGAUGGGGAGCACACCCGAGCCUGAGACAACAGCUCUGCUAAGUGCCCUUGAGAGGGCACGGUGGGGUCAGCACCAAAGCCAGACCACUAAAGAGAAAAAGAGAUAAAGACAGGAUUGCAGAGGAGAAAUGAGAAUGGCAGAAAAAAUAAUUUUUUAAGCCAAAAGGAAUCAGAGAAGAGCAGAAGUGCCUCUAGGAUAAAGCGUAGCAGGCAGUUAGGGAAAAAGGGCUGUUAACUACCUUGAAGCUCUGACUACAUUAGAAAGCCUCGCAAGACAGUCGUUGCUUGCACGGGCAGUGACCUGAAAUCUUCAUAACCCUCUUCCUUUCUCCACUUAUCAACUAAGGGGUGAUUGGCAAUAAGCAUGGGUGGGAGAGAAAAAAAAACAGAAUUUGAGGAGGAGAGCAUUUAAACCAUCAGUCUGUGUGUUCUGUGACAUCAAAGACUGGCAACAUUCUAAAGGAAAAGCAGCUGUGAAGUCAUAAUUAUGUUCACUUCCCACUGGCAACUGGCAAGCCCUUUAUUUUUGUGCAUUCGGAACUCAUCAAGAAUAAAUAAAGUCCAUUCCCUCCUUGAGGGGCUAUUCUGCCAUUCCAUCUAGGAUUUAAAAGUUUGCCAAUUCCUAAAACAUCUAUUGUUAUAAAUAGUCUUGUGUCUUUCACAAAGCGGACUUUACAAAGUAAGAGAAGAAGACAGUGAGAGACAGGCAGUGUCCAUUUGAACAUAGCAAAUAGUCUGACCAGAUGACGAGUCUACUAGCUCUUCUAGUAGCUGCUGCAACCAGCAACUUAGUGGGGGCAACAUCCUCAGCCGUGCUACGUGGGCUUUGCCUGAAGACAAUAGAUAACAGCCAAGAGGCAGACAAAGAAAAUAUGUGUAAAAACAAUGGUAAAUAAAGUAAAUAAAAUUAACAAAUUAGAUAAAUGAAUAAAAAUAAAGAGCAAAAGCAAAUGUCAACAUGCAUCAAUUCCCCAUCCAAAUUACAUACCUCAUGUAAUUUUUGUAAACAUUUUGUAAGAUUUACCUUCUUGAUUUAUCAGCAAUCAUUCUGGUUUGCAAUAAAAUAAUACCUGUAAGUGGUUUAAUUGGAACUGCUGCCACUGCUUGAGAUUUAUGAAUUGGAAUAUUACAUGAUAAUCCACAGGAUCACCUUGCUUUCCUAUUGCUGAAGUUUGCCUCAAUUCUUCCUUCCAUUCAUUCAUUUAUUCAACAAGCCUCCAUUGAAUGUCUGCUAUAAUUCACAUAGGGGUCCCCCUCCCUUAAGAAUUGCAAAUUAUACAUGCAAGAGAAAAUAUUGUUUUCACUUUUUAAAAAUUAUUUCAUUUCUAUUUUUAAAAAGAGAUUGUUUUCAGACAGAUGGGCUACCCUGUACAUUUUUUACUUUGACAAGUACAUUCUGCAAUGUUUUGUGGGAGAACUGAGUUUAUCCUUUUGUUAACUUCAAAAGGUCAGGUAUGUGCCUCAAUCCUC